UACGAAGGGGCUAGCGUUGCUCGGAAUCACUGGGCGUAAAGGGUGCGUAGGCGGGUCUUUAAGUCAGGGGUGAAAUCCUGGAGCUCAACUCCAGAACUGCCUUUGAUACUGAAGAUCUUGAGUUCGGGAGAGGUGAGUGGAACUGCGAGUGUAGAGGUGAAAUUCGUAGAUAUUCGCAAGAACACCAGUGGCGAAGGCGCUCACUGGCCCGAUACUGACGCUGAGGCACGAAAGCGUGGG
rnacentral:rRNA from 1 species